GAUCCUGGCUCAGGAUGAACGCUGGCGGCGUGCUUAACACAUGCAAGUCGAACGAAGACAUCUGAGUGCUUGCACUUGGAUGGACUGAGUGGCGGACGGGUGAGUAACGCGUGGGUAACCUGCCUUAUACAGGGGGAUAACAGUUGGAAACGACUGCUAAUACCGCAUAAGCGCACGGUAUCGCAUGAUACAGUGUGAAAAACUCCGGUGGUAUAAGAUGGACCCGCGUCUGAUUAGCUUGUUGGUGAGGUAACGGCCCACCAAGGCGACGAUCAGUAGCCGGCCUGAGAGGGUGAACGGCCACAUUGGGACUGAGACACGGCCCAAACUCCUACGGGAGGCAGCAGUGGGGAAUAUUGCACAAUGGGGGAAACCCUGAUGCAGCGACGCCGCGUGAGUGAUGAAGUAUUUCGGUAUGUAAAACUCUAUCAGCAGGGAAGAUAAUGACGGUACCUGACUAAGAAGCACCGGCUAAAUACGUG
rnacentral:rRNA from 1 species